rnacentral:piRNA from 1 species
UUAGGCACAGAAGUCCGGAACCCGGA